rnacentral:ncRNA from 2 species
CAAGGAGCGCAUGACUGGCGGAAAAGUGGAAUAAACCACAGGGAGUGCGCAUCCUCAUAUAAGCCGACCGUCUGGGCACCCUAA